GAUCAGAAUAGUCAAGCAUACAGUCUGUUCAUUUAUUUUGACUUAGGCUACUUUGUGAACAGCUGAUCGGAUGAUGGGGAAAAUUAAAAAAAAAAAAAAAAAUAAACAGAUAAUGAAUCGUGUUACUUGUAAAGAUUUGAUUACACUGAUUAUCAUUUGUUGGACUGUUUUGAUUUCCUUUGACUAAUUCGAUGUCAGUGAACUUUAUAAAUACCACAC
rnacentral:lncRNA from 1 species